rnacentral:rRNA from 1 species
AGUCAUAUGCUUGUCUCAAAGAUUAAGCCAUGCAUGUCUCAGAAUAUGCUCUGAUGAACUAAUCUGCAAAUGGCUCAUUAUAACAGUUUUGAUCUUGUGAUUCGUUUUCUGAAUUGGAUAUCUUGGGUAAUUCUAAAGCUAAUACGUGCUGUAAUGCCUCACUUCUGGGACGGGCAUUGCUUGUUGGCUUCAGAACCAAUACCUGGCUUUGUCAGGAAUGGUUUGAAUUAAAACAAGGAUGUGAUCUAACAUUGGUGGACUUGUUUUUUGAGUUUCUGACCUAUCAGCUGUGGACAGUAAGAUAUUUGCUUCCUGUGGCUAUGACGGGUGACGGGGGAUUAGGGUUUGAUUCCGGAGAGGGAGCUUGAGGAUCGGCUACCACAUCUAAGGAAGGCAGCAGGCGCGCAAAUUACCCAUUCUUGACACAAGGAGGUAGUGACAAGAAAUAACAAUACAUGGCAUGCAUGUCUUGUAAUUGGAAUGUGCUAAUCCUAAACUAUUUUACGAACUUCAAUUGGAGGGCAAGUCUGGUGCCAGCAGCCGCGGUAAUUCCAGCUCCAAUAGCGUAUAUUAAAGUUGUUGCGGUUAAAAAGCUCGUAGUUUGAUGUGUGUAAUAUCAGUCCAGUCUGCCCACUGGGUGUGUAUGCAUGGUACUGGUGUUGCAUUUCGUUUAGCAUUGCCUCUGCACUUGAUUGUGUGGGACAAUGUACAAGUGGUUGUACUUUGAAGAAACCAAGGUGCUCUCAGCAAGCAAUUGCUUUGAAUAAUUCAGCAUGGAAUAAAACAAUAUUGUCCUUCCUUUUAUGGCUCAGGAACACAAUUUUUGAUUGACAGGAACAACUGGGGGCAUUUGUAUUCAGCAGUCAGAGGUGAAAUUCUUGGAUUUGUUGAAGACAAACAAUUGCAAAUGCAUUUGUCAAGGAUGUUUUCUUUGAUCAAGAACGAAAGUUAGGGGAUCGAAGACGAUCAGAUACCGUCCUAGUCUUAACCAUAAACCUUGCUGGCUAGAUGUUGGAAGACUUGCAUGCAUUAUGUUUUCAGAAACUUUUGAGAAAUCAAAGCUUUUGGGUUCUGGGGGGAGUAUGGUCGCAAGGCUGAAACUUAAAGGAAUUGACGGAAGGGCACCACCAGGAGUGGAGCCUGCGGCUUAAUUUGAUUCAACACGGGGAAACUCACCAGAUCCAGACAUAGACAGGAUUGACAGAUUAAUAGCUCUUUCUUGAUCCUAUGGGUGGUGGUGCAUGGCCGUUCUUAGUUGGUGGAUUGAUUUGUCUGGUUAAUUCCGUUAACGAACGAGACCUUACCUUACUAAAUAGUCGCAUGUAAUGCUCAUUAUGUGAAUGACUUCUUAGAAGGACAUGGUGUGUCUAACGCAAGGAAGUUUGAGGCAAUAACAGGUCUGUGAUGCCCUUAGAUGUUCUGGGCAGCACGCGCGCUACACUGACAUACUCAACCUGUAUUCCUUGCUCGGAGGAGUUUGGUAAUCUACCAAAGUACAUCGUGAUGGGGAUCGUUUUUUGCAAUUCUAAAUCUUGAACGAGGAAUUCCUAGUAAGCUUGAUUCAUCAGCUCGUGCUGAUUGCGUCCCUGCCCUUUGUACACACCGCCCGUCGCUCCUACCGAUUGAAUAAUCCGGUGAAUGUUUUGGAAUUUGUCAGUGAUCAAUGAACUUGGUAGCGUGCAUGAAGACAUAUAAACCUUAUUGUUUAGAGGAAGGAGAAGUCGUAACAAGGUUUCC